rnacentral:rRNA from 1 species
UACGUAGGGGGCAAGCGUUGUCCGGAAUCAUUGGGCGUAAAGCGCGUGUAGGCGGCUCAGUAAGUCCGCUCUGAAAGCCCGGGGCUCAACCCCGGGAGGCGGGUGGAUACUGCUGAGCUCGAGUCCGGAAGAGGAGAAUGGAAUUCCCGGUGUAGCGGUGAAAUGCGCAGAUAUCGGGAAGAACACCCGUGGCGAAGGCGGUUCUCUGGGACGGUACUGACGCUGAGACGCGAAAGCGUGGGGAGCGAACAGG